rnacentral:lncRNA from 1 species
UUUUAUUAUAACCUUUACUAGUUAUCAACAUGUAUUUUUUAUACUUAAUUCGAAACUGAAAAUCGUUGUCAUAAUAUUUACAAGUUUGUGUACGAGUAUGUGUCAAUGCAAUUGGGUUCUUGGCUUCUAUAUCCGGAUGCGUCACCAGUACAGUCGGCAGCUGGUUUUUCAGAUGUUGUUGGUUGUGACUCAUAACUGGUAAACGCGGACGAUAUCUGUUGACCGAACAUUGUGAUCAUCUGCAUUUGCAGUUUCUGCUGCAUGGCAAACAUCUGCAUUUGGAAUUGCCGCUCUGAUUGCACGCGUUUUUCUUCAAUGAUUUGUUCCUUUUUUCUAAUUUUCUCUUCUUGCUCUAAAACAGUUUAGUGCUUGACAAUUCCAUUUGCUUUAACGUUUCAAUAAACGGACC